rnacentral:lncRNA from 1 species
UAAUCUUAGGUUAACGCUCAAAAGGAGUUGCUAAGGCUUUGGAACAUCAGCUGAAGCCCCAAAUACCGGGAGCAUUCUCCAGGAAGUUGUACCCGUCAGCACCUGCUGAGGGCUUCGCUGAUGAAACUGACAGGUAAAAAAAAUUCCUGUAGAAUAAAGCCAGACCAGCUGGCUUUGAAGAGAAACCCCCCAGUUUGGGUUGUGUUUGCCUCACUCACCCUCUACUCUGCAGCCCGAGGCUUUUUCUGCUUUAGUCGUUGACCUGUAGGCUGCGUGAUGCGGGCGCGCAAGUGUCUGGCAGGCCGAGGUGCACCUGCUGCUGUCACUCCGGAGUAAAUUUAGCUGUGAAAGGUAUCACUGACAAGCAGACCUUUGUCAGCGCUGGCAAACGAACACAGAUUUCCCAUCCCUUCCCCCUCAAAGAACGCUGCGAGUUCAAAUGGAAAAUAUCGAAUCAGCCGUCUUAUCCAGAAAUCACUUCUUUGAGAAAGGAAGAGGCAAAAUUGCUUUCAUAUGGCAAAAAAGUUUCCUCCUUUACAUAGACGGUAAAAUUACAUUCCAAGAAUAAUCUCUGAACAAGACAAGUUUUUGUUCUAUUAAUUGUGGCUGGAAGGAAACUUUUUUAAUGGAAAUACAGCACACACAUAUUUCAAUUCAGGUUAUUAAACUGUGUUAAGUAUUAAAGUUGAUUGCCUUUCUUUUCACUAACUCAUUGUGCUUUUUUAUCCAAAGAAAUAUUAGAAGACUAAAACCUCUCAAAUAGGAGGUAUUAAUCUCAUUCCCAAAAUUAGAAAGCAUGCAGUGUUGAGAGACUGGAUGUCAAAAUUACAUGUUCAUAGCACUUGUGCUUUGGAAAUCUAGGAACCAACCAUUUUUAAAAUGGAAGCCAAAGUAAAAUGGAAAGCCUUCUGAGAGCGAAGCAAACUAAACGUGGUGUUCUUGUCCUUAUUGGAUUCAGGGGCACCCUUUCAGAUAAAAACGUGGACCUGAUUGGCAUCAUCCUGUAUCCAUGGAAACGUUAUUCUGAGGAGGAGAAAAAAAAGUGGUUCUGUAGGAACUCAGAAAAGAAGGGCCACAAACACUCAUUCCUAAAGUGUAAGCUACCAAGAAAAGACUACCAUCACUGAAUCAG